AGUUGUGAGUGUUGGCGGCAGAAUCAUGGUGGACAUAAUGGAACUUCCGAAAGCGCGCGUCAACGCCAGCAUGUUAACACAGUAUAUCGACUGGCCCAUGUGCUUCGUGGGGAAGCUAGAAAAGAUUCAUCCUACUGGAAAAAUGUUUAUCCUUUCAGAUGGAGAAGGAAAAAAUGGAACCAUUGAAUUGAUGGAGCCACUUGAUGAAGAAAUCUCUGGAGUCAUAGAAGUAGUUGGAAAAGUCACAGCCAAGGCAACCAUACUAUGUGCAUCUUAUAUUCAGUUUAAGGAAGAUUGCAAUCGUUUUGAUCUUGAACUUUACAAUGAAGCUGUGAAAAUUAUCAAUGAGUUUCCUCAGUUUUUUCCUUUAGGGCUUACACAACAUGAAUGAGCUUCUUGAGUUUCCUAAGAUUGCCCUUGAGCUACAUUGAAGGCUAUUAAAGAAGACUCCUUCAGCUUAAGGGGGAAAUACCUA